AUUGUGGUUGGGAGGCUGAAGGGAGCUCUGUGUUUGGAGGCACUAUACACCUGCAGACUGUUGAGGCGGCGUAAGGAAGCAAUGACAAGACCACCAGAAAUGAUUAGGGAGCAGCAGAUUGGAACAAGAGAGCAAACCACACGAGAGGAAUGCGAACUUCAUCCAGUUGUGGGUGAGAGAUGAGGACAGAAUGUUGUGUUUCCAUGAGAGCUAUCCCUGAGGAAAAUUUACUUUGCUGGUAUGAUGAUGAUCACUUUUACACCCAUUCAGUGGUUUUCAGUACUGUCUACAAAUAUUUAUGGCACUUACACAUGAAAGGUUUAGCCUUGGAAAAUUCAUUUUAAGCCAAGAAUACCCUGUACCUAAAGUUCACAACCAUCCAGUAGGAUGUGAAAAAUAAAGCAUCAACAACAGCUCAACUCAGAUGGACUGACUGUCCUGUAACAAUAGAUCAGAACACAAGAUGAUUGUUGGGGCAUAAAAAGAAAAUAUUAGAACUUCUGCUUAUAUUUAUUGUAGAACAUAUUGU